rnacentral:rRNA from 1 species
UGGCUCAGAUUGAACGCUGGCGGCAGGCCUAACACAUGCAAAUCGAACGGUAACAGGAAACAGCUUGCCGUUCGCUGACGAGUGGCGGACGGGUGAGUAAUGUCUGGGAAACUGCCUGAUGGAGGGGGAUAACUACUGGAAACGGUAGCUAAUACCGCAUAACGUCGCAAGACCAAAGGAGGGGGACCUUCGGGCCUCUUGCCAUCGGAUGUGCCCAGAUGGGAUUAGCUAGUAGGUGGGGUAACGGCUCACCUAGGCGACGAUCCCUAGCUGGUCUGAGAGGAUGACCAGCCACACUGGAACUGAGACACGGUCCAGACUCCUACGGGAGGCAGCAGUGGGGAAUAUUGCACAAUGGGCGCAAGCCUGAUGCAGCCAUGCCGCCGUGUAUGAAGAAGGCCUUCGGGUUAGUAAAGUACUUCAGCGGGGAGGAAGGGAGUAAAGUUAAUACCUUUGCUCAUUGACGUUACCCGCAGAAGAAGCACCGGCUAACUCCGUGCCAGCCGCCGC